rnacentral:lncRNA from 1 species
CUUGGAAUGGGAAGAAGGACAGAGCUUGGUUUCUUCUCUCAGGGAUCUUAAGGUGGGCUACAGCCUCUAAGCUGAUGCUGAUGUUCAACUAUAGCAUAGGUGCUGAGAGGAACUGUCUCCACACAACAGGCCUACAAAAGUCUUCCGCUGCAUAGAAUCUGGUUCAGCAAGACCACACACUUCUCUUUCAAAGGAAUUCAAGUCUCUGGAAGCUAGGAGGUCCUCCACAGUCCUCUGCCAUUUUCUUCCCUCCGAGGGGAAGCAAAUCUUUGUCAGUCCACAGACAGUGAAUGGGUCUCUAAAUUCCCGAGUCAUCAGAGUGGCUGGAGGCCAGGGAACCUGCCAGGUCCCCACACUGAUGGCUUUUGUUCCCUGUGGGUCAUACGGAAACCACCACCCAUGGACGCUCUGCUGACGGGAAGAGCGCUCUGUGAAUUGUCAGGCUCGGCUGAAGCAAGCACGCUUCCUUGUGGGCAGGACACAUGACAGCCUCCAACGGAGUCACCCACGGAGCAACCUAUAGUCUAGUGUGAGCUGACACACACUGGGUGUCUCCCAGAAGCUCGAGUACCUGGCAGAUUCACCUGGACGCCAGCCACCCCGAUGACUCAGGAAUUUAGGUGAAGGACGCUGCUAGGCUCACAACCCCUGAAGGUUAGCCACGGGACACAGAUGGACUCUCAAUUUGUUAUCUGCAGAUUUGGCUGGACACUACUCUCAAACAGGAUAUUAAAUGGGAGGCUUUAAUAAAUAUCCCAAUGGAUCAGUCCGAACUGAAUUCUUUCUCAUUCCCUAGAGUGGCCUAGAGUAAAUGGCUAACCUGUGUAGCCCAGAGAUAAAGACAGUACAGUUAGUACUAAGAAAUCUAGGCUAGAAAGUGAAAUUAUUUCUGAAUCCUGCAAAAAUCCCUGGGAUUUUCCUUCACCACGGGACCAGCUUCAGUGGAG